UACGAAGGGGGCUAGCGUUGUUCGGAAUUACUGGGCGUAAAGCGCACGUAGGCGGGUUGUUAAGUCAGGGGUGAAAUCCUGGAGCUCAACUCCAGAACUGCCUUUGAUACUGGCAACCUAGAGACUGGAAGAGGUUAGUGGAAUUCCCAGUGUAGAGGUGAAAUUCGUAGAUAUCAAGCAGAACACCUGCGGCGAAGGCGGCCUUCUGGACGAUGACUGACGCUGAGACGCGAAAGCGUGGGGAGCAAACAGG
rnacentral:rRNA from 1 species